rnacentral:rRNA from 1 species
CAGUAGCCACGGUAAUACGAGGGGGGCAAGCGUUGUUCGGAAUUAUUGGGCGUAAAGGGUGCGUAGGCGGCUUGACAAGUCUUGUGUGAAAUCUAUGGGCUCAACCCAUAGUCUGCACGGGAAACUGUCGGGCUUGAGAAUGGGAGAGGUGAGUGGAAUUUCCGGUGUAGCGGUGAAAUGCGUAGAUAUCGGAAGGAACACCUGUGGCGAAAGCGGCUCACUGGACCAUUUCUGACGCUGAUGCGCGAAAGCUAGGGGAGCAAACAGGAUUAGAUACCCCAGUAGUCCCUGUCUCUUAUAC